GUUGUCCAUCAUUCAGUUGGGCACUCUAGCGAGACUGCCGGUAAUAAACCGGAGGAAGGUGGGGAUGACGUCAAAUCAUCAUGCCCUUAUGACCUGGGCUACACACGUGCUACAAUGGUUGGUACAACGAGUUGCGAGUCGGUGACGGCGAGCUAAUCUCUUAAAGCCAAUCUCAGUUCGGAUUGUAGGCUGCAACUCGCCUACAUGAAGUCGGAAUCGCUAGUAAUCGCGGAUCAGCACGCCGCGGUGAAUACGUUCCCGGGCCUU
rnacentral:rRNA from 1 species